UAGGGAAUCUUCGGCAAUGGGGGGAACCCUGACCGAGCAACGCCGCGUGAGUGAAGAAGGUUUUCGGAUCGUAAAGCUCUGUUGUUAAGGAAGAACAAGUGUGAGAAUGGAAAGUUCAUGCUGUGACGGUACUUAACCAGAAAGGGACGGCUAACUACGUGCCAGCAGCCGCGGUAAUACGUAGGUCCCGAGCGUUGUCCGGAUUUAUUGGGCGUAAAGCGAGCGCAGGCGGUUAGAAAAGUCUGAAGUGAAAGGCAGUGGCUCAACCAUUGUAGGCUUUGGAAACUGUUUAACUUGAGUGCAGAAGGGGAGAGUGGAAUUCCAUGUGUAGCGGUGAAAUGCGUAGAUAUAUGGAGGAACACCGGUGGCGAAAGCGGCUCUCUGGUCUGUAACUGACGCUGAGGCUCGAAAGCGUGGGGAGCGAACAGG
rnacentral:rRNA from 1 species